rnacentral:rRNA from 1 species
CGAAAUGCGGUACGUAAUGUGAAUUGCAGAAUUCAGUGAAUCAUCGAAUCUUUGAACGCAUAUUGCG